rnacentral:lncRNA from 1 species
UUGAAUUCAUUUUUGUCCCAUUGGGACAUUAAUUUUUUUGGAUGAUAAUGUCCAUUAACUUGGAAUUAAGGAAGAUGAUGCUCUUUUCUAUUUGAUAUUUUUUAUCGAUGAAUGUAUGGCGGUAUUCAAUAGAAGAGAGAGGUAGUCUUUAGCAUGAUGACCUCUAGAGAAGAGGAUUUUGGAGUUGAAGCAUGUUGAAGAUUUGGAUUGCUAGAUUUCUACCUUUAUAUUGAUGGAUAAACCAACUUCUAGAUUUGAGGUCAGAUAUUUUAGAAUUAGGCAAUGGAAAGGCAUUGAAGCGGAUGAGUUUAGAUUCCUUGUGAGCGUAUGGGAUUGAUUACAGGAGAUGGCUGAAGAGUUUUGUUUUUCUUUACUCUCAUUUGAAAUUUUCAACAAAGCUUGCUUUUCAAGGAUUCGUAUACUGUUAUGAACGAGAAUGUAGGAUCAAAUCCACGGGUGGAUCAGGAUUUUGUAAUGUCUGAAUUAAGUUAAAUGU